ensembl:lncRNA
CUCCCCAUUAUCUUGUCUUGGAGCAGGCAUCACCUUGGAGCUUCUCUUCCUUCUGUCUCCAUUCCUCUUCGGAACGUACUCCAAGGGGCACGUGGAUUCAGGAGACGCACAGUUGAGUGGAAGAAAUGGUAGAUGUAUGGGGCUUGACCCAGGCCCUGUGUACACGAAGUAAAUGCAUAAACACUGGAGAGGAGUGUGCAUACCUACCAGUGUUAUCACAGCAUAAGGAAGGAUUUGGCAACGGGAGCGAAGAUGCAGGUGUUUAUCUUACCCUCCCUGCAGUGCUGGAGUGGCUGUGGGGGAAAUCUCUCCUUCUCCUGAAGUUCCGACUGGCCAUCUGCCUGCAGCUGACCUCACAGGAGGAACCUGCGGCCUGGCAUUCCACGUGGGCAUCUGUGCACUCAGCCCAGCUGGUCCCACUCUGCUGCUGUGCUCUACGCAUUUCAUCUCAAUUGGGUGACAUACUUGAAUAUAGCAAUUAUGAGAACAGCAACCUCAGAAGAAUACCUGGCAUCCAGACCAUCCCAGCCCAUUUCCACAAGGUACCAACUUCUGUAAGCCUUAAAGAGCGAAGUCAUCCAGACUGGGCACAGUGGCUCACGCCUAUAAUUCUAGCACUUUGGGAAUCCAAGGCGGACAGAUCACUUGAGGUGAGGAGUUCAAUACCAGCCUGGCCAACAUGGUGAAACCCCAUCUCUACUAAAAAUACAAAAAUAGCCAAGUGUGGCGGUGCACAUCUAUCAUCCUAGCUACAUGGGAGGCUGAAGCAGGAGAAUCACUUGAACCCAGGAGGUGGAGUUUGCAGUGAGCCAAGAUUGCACCACUGCACUCCAGCCUGGUCAACAGAGUGAGACUCUGUCUCAAAAAAAGAAAAAAAAAAAGAGCUAAGCCAUCCAGAUCCCUUGAUAUAGAUACAGGGGAGCUUGGGCCAUCUCAUCACAGCAGAACUUCAGCUUUUGGCACAUUCUUUUCCUUACUACCAGCUUUUGAAACUGAAGUGUAGGAGAGUCUUGGUAUGGGAGAGUCUGAGUGACAGCAAGUCCUGCAGGACUUAGGCACUGACAAAACACAGUCCCCAUGCACAACAGUAGUCCCAGAACCAGAGAAAGGGACAGAGAAACAUUUUAAGAAGUGGCAGCUGACCAGCAGUUCAGGGUUGCAGUGCACUAUGAUUGCACCUAUGAAUAGCCACUGCACUCCAGCCUGGGCAACAUAGUGCGAGCCUAUCUAAAAAAAGGAAAGAAAAUGGCUGGGCGUGGUGGCUCAAGACUGUAAUCCCAGCGCUUUGGGAGGCCAAGGCAGGAGGAUCGCUUGAGCCCAGGAGUUUCUGAGACCUGCCUAGACAACAUGGCAAGAUCCCAUCUCUACAAAAAAUUAGUUAGGCAUGGUGGUGUGUGCCCAUAGUCCCAACUACCUGGGAGGCUGAGGUGGGAGGAUCACCUGAACCCAGGAUCUGUGAGCAUGCUACUGCACUCCAGCCUGAGUGACAGAGUGAGCCCCUGGCUGAAAGGAAAAAAAUAAGUAGCUGGGUGUGGUAGCACAUGCCUGUAGUCCUCACUGCUCAGGAGGCUGAGGCAUGAGGAUGGCUUGAGUCCAAAGGUUGAGGCUAUUCUGAGCAAUUAUGGCACCACUGCACUUCAGCCUGGGUGACAAACUGAGACCCUCAAAACUAAAAUGGCCAUAAAUUUUAAUUUUUUUCCGUAUUGUUCAUUCUGUUCCCUUGAUCUAUAUGUCUAUCCUUUUUCCAUAUCUUAUAGAUGUGAUUACUAGAAGUUUC